rnacentral:rRNA from 1 species
AUUGAACGCUGGCGGCAGGCCUAACACAUGCCAGUCGAGCGGAUGAAGGGAGCUUGCUCCUGGAUUCAGCGGCGGACGGGUGAAUAAUGCCUAGGAAUCUGCCUUGUAGUGGGGGAUAACGUCCGGAAACGGGCGCUAAUACCGCAUACGUCCUGAGGGAGAAAGUGGGGGAUCUUCGGACCUCACGCUAUCAGAUGAGCCUAGGUCGGAUUAGCUAGUUGGUGGGGUAAAGGCCUACCAAGGCGACGAUCCGUAACUGGUCUGAGAGGAUGAUCAGUCACACUGGAACUGAGACACGGUCCAGACUCCUACGGGAGGCAGCAGUGGGGAAUAUUGGACAAUGGGCGAAAGCCUGAUCCAGCCAUGCCGCGUGUGUGAAGAAGGUCUUCGGAUUGUAAAGCACUUUAAGUUGGGAGGAAGGGCAGUAAGUUAAUACCUUGCUGUUUUGACGUUACCAACAGAAUAAGCACCGGCUAACUUCGUG